UACGUAGGGUGCGAGCGUUAAUCGGAAUUACUGGGCGUAAAGCGUGCGCAGGCGGCUUUGCAAGACAGAUGUGAAAUCCCCGGGCUUAACCUGGGAACUGCAUUGGUGACUGCACGGCUAGAGUGUGUCAGAGGGGGGUAGAAUUCCACGUGUAGCAGUGAAAUGCGUAGAGAUGUGGAGGAAUACCGAUGGCGAAGGCAGCCCCCUGGGAUAACAUUGACGCUCAUGCACGAAAGCGUGGGUAGCAAACAGG
rnacentral:rRNA from 1 species